UUUUAUUCUUCUUGUUCUGUCCGUCUCCCCCUCUCGUUCUUCACUCUCCCUCCCCUGUUGAUGAGAAGCAAAAGAAAAUCACAAUUUCUUUCCACGAACUCCGAAAACCCAUUUAUGGGAUUGAAAUGGUUGUUCUAAGAAAUUGUCACUUGUUCUUUCAAGACGUGGUGAUUGAUUUAUGUUGCUAUCUGCGUUACGAGUUUGGAGCUAGCUCGAUGCAGUAAGCCGGAAAAGCUUACGAUAAGGGAAUUAUGGACACAAUAUCGGUAUAUGUUGUUGUCCUUGUAUAUAUAUAUAUAUAUCAUGGGCUGUGUUGGGUAGUUUUCCUAUGGGUGCUAAAUGAUAUUUUCUUUACAUGUCUUUCUGCCUGUACAUGUGUACAAACUAAAGAAUUAUCUCGGGUUAGAAGGAAUAAUUUUUACACUCCUUUUGACUGUCCAGUUUUCAUUUUCAUUUUCUUUCAUCGUCAGCGUGUCGACAUUUCUUAGAUCAUAUUUGUUACCUAUUUGGAAUUCUUUUUAUUUGAACCAUAAUGUGUAUAUGUCAUUCUCUGUUUUGAAAUUCAUGUUGGAACUUGAAGAUAGUAGCAGGCCUUGUUUUGUAUA